rnacentral:misc_RNA from 1 species
CCUCGGCUGGCACACGG